rnacentral:rRNA from 1 species
CCUGGUUGAUCCUGCCAGUAGUCAUACGCUUGUCUCAAAGAUUAAGCCAUGCAUGUCUGAGUGUAAAUGAAUUUCACCGUGGAACCGCGAAUGGCUCAUUAAAUCGGUUUUAGUUUACUUGACGGUCCUUUGCUAUUCGGAUAGCCGUAGCAAUUCUAGAGCUAAUACGUGCGCAGAGGGGCGUAGCCCUGUGUUUACUAGAUUUCCACCAACUGUUGAUGGUGAGUCAUGGUAACCUUGUCGGACCUCGCAAGAGGCACGUCAAUUAAGAUUCCGCCCCAUCAGCUGUGAUGGUAGGGUAUUGGCCUACCAUGGCGUUAACGGGUAACGGAGGAUUAGGGUUUGGUUCCGGAGAGGGAGCCUGAGAGACGGCUACCACAUCUAAGGAAGGCAGCAGGCGCGCAAAUUACUCAAUCCCGACGCGGGGAGGUAGUGACAAAAAAUAACAAUGCUUGUGCCUUGUGCACGAGCAAUUGGAAUGAGAACAAUUUAAAGCCCUUAUCGAGGAUCUAUUGGAGGGAAAGUCUGGUGCCAGCAGCCGCGGUAAUACCAGCUCCAAUAGCGUAUAUUAAAGUUGUUGCAGUUAAAAAGCUCGUAGUUGAAGGUUUAACGCUUGCUGUGCGGCCGCUUGAUUGCGGUGCGUGCGGCGUGUGUUUUAGCUUGGGUGUGUUUGUGCACCCAUUGUUUACCGUGAGAAAAUCAGAGUGUUCAAAGCAGGCUAUGUGCUUGAAUACGUCAGCAUGGGAUAAUGAUUCANGACCCUGGUGGUCUUUGCAUUGUUGGUUGCGUGCCGGGAGUAAUGAUUAAUAGGGAUGACUGGGGGCACUCGUACUCACAGGCCUGAGGUGAAAUUCUAAGACUCUGUGAUGACGGCCGACUGCGAAAGCAUGUUGCCCAGGGCGUUUUCAUUAAUCAAGAACGAAAGUCAGGGGAUUGAAGAGGAUUAGAUACCCUCGUAAUCUUGACCAUAAACUAUGCCGACUCAGGAUUGGUGGAUGGCGUGUUUUUUGCCUUCACCAGCACUGUAUGAGAAAUCAAAGUCUUUGGGUUCCGGGGGGAGUAUGGUCGCAAGGCUGAAACUUAAAGGAAUUGACGGAAGGGCACCACCAGGAGUGGAGCCUGCGGCUUAAUUUGACUCAACACGGGGAAACUCACCAGGUCCGGACAUACGUAGGAUUGACAGAUUGACCGCUCUUUCAUGAUUGUAUGGUUGGUGGUGCAUGGCCGUUCUUAGUUCGUGGAGUGAUUUGUCUGGUUAAUUCCGUUAACGAACGAGACCUCCGCCUGCUAACUAGGUGGCCGCUGUGUGCAGCGGUGCACCUUCUUAGAGGGACUGCGGGCGUUUAGUCCGUGGAAGUUGGAGGCAAUAACAGGUCUGUGAUGCCCUUCGAUGUUCUGGGCCGCACGCGCGCUACACUGGUCGGUGCAACGAGUGUAUUUGUUUGUCCGACAGGCCUGGCAAAUCUGUGAAGCCCGACCGUGCUUGGGAUAGAUUCUUGCAAUUUUUGAUCUUGAACGAGGAAUUCCUAGUAAACGCAAGUCAUCAGCUUGCAUUGAUUACGUCCCUGCCCUUUGUACACACCGCCCGUCGCACCUACCGAUUGGGUGGUCCGGUGAAACACCAGGAUUGGGACGCAGUCCGUAAGGGUUGUGUCCUGAGAAUGGAGGUGAACCUUGCCAUCUAGAGGAAGGUGAAGUCGUAACAAGGUUUCCGUAGGUGAACCUGCGGAAGGAUC